UUUGGUAAAGUUUUCUCACCCGUGUUUUUCCUACCUAGCUAAAGUUUAUAUUUAGUGGCUCAUAUGUCAUCACAAUUCUUUGUGAAGGCAACGGCGUGGGGAGGCGAGUAGUUUUGGGACACGCCUGUUCAGACCAUCUGAAGUGGCGUUGGUUCAUUUGGUGACCCUUCUCUCUCACCAGGUUCAUCUCUCCCUCAGGUGAUUUUCAUCUCUUGCCCUCAAAUCGAUUUUAACUAGGGUUAAUUUUUUGUGUUCGAUCCAAUGAGGGAAAUGAAAAUCGGAACCUGGUGGGAAGGGGGCACAGAGGAAGGUGAGUUCGUUGUUCUGCUUUAUGCAUUCAAAUUCGUCCCCUUUUUUCUCCAAAUCAUGUCUAGAUUUUUCAGUUUUUAGGAUGGUUUUUUUAUUCAGCGUUUCGAAAGCAAGUGGGGAGGUUCAUGCAUCGAGGUGCAGCUGCAGCCACCGCAUCGCACGCUGCGGAGGGCGGCGGCGGCGGCGGCGGCGGCCCCAUUCCGAAGCCAACUACUCAGCUCACAGGAGGCCACGGCCGCCCGAUCCGGUUGGUGCCGAGAGCCUUUUGAGAAUCUCAAGGCAGGAGGAUCAGAUCAGGACAGCGUCGUCUCGCUCUCGUCUACAGCGAAUUAGUUAGGGCUCCUCGUUCAUCUCACGCCACACGCCGACACGGUGACACGCCAUGCCAAGCUGCAAAUGCUUAUCCAGAUCUAGCUGCGUUCUUUUUUGCUUGGAUAUCAAUUCUGACGGGAUCGUUGGCAGCCAGUUGCUUUCAGGAAUAUGUAUAUCAGAAGCUCUGCUAAGUUCUACUGGCAGCUAGUAGGCCUCUUAUUCUUCUUGUUUCCAAUUGGGUUUUUUUUUUUGCACUAAAUCGCAUUUAGAUUAUCUGAAAGCGAAAUCUUUGUAUUUGUAUAUAUGUGUACUGCUUGACAAGCGGCUUAAUUGCAUCCUACAAACAA